AUGCUGAGCUUGCCCAUUCUGCAACUGCUGCUUUUGAUAAAAGAUAUAACCAUCGGAGAAAAACAAGGCAAUUGCUGGAGAGAGCUCAGCCCUUGUGAGAAUGAAUUGCCCAGUGGGCCACAUUCUAUCAUCAGAAACUCACAGGAAAUUCACACUGGAGAUAAGACCAUGGAAAACACCUUGUAUUACAAUGGAAUUAUACCAGGCUUUGGAAAAUGGAACCAUUACUGGACAAGCAUUCCCAGGAACCUAAAGGAUACUCUAGUGAAUUAUUAAACUUAUUAAACCUAGCUCAAAAGAAGCUUGAGUUUCAGCAAGAAUUGUUGAUGUUUUUAUUUUAAACCACUAUAGAAUAUAUGCUUUGCCUUAUGCUUCCUUUAUUUUCCACAAAUCAUCAUCCUAAAUAAAUAUAUUCAUCAUAAUAAAUAUAAUAAUAAA
rnacentral:lncRNA from 1 species